rnacentral:rRNA from 1 species
UACGUAGGGGGCAAGCGUUGUCCGGAUUUAUUGGGCGUAAAGAGCGUGUAGGCGGCUUUGCAAGUCCGUUGUGAAAACUCGAGGCUCAACCUCGAGACGCCGGUGGAAACUGCAAAGCUAGAGUCCGGAAGAGGAGAGUGGAAUUCCUGGUGUAGCGGUGAAAUGCGCAGAUAUCAGGAGGAACACCCGUGGCGAAAGCGGCUCCCUGGGACGGUACUGACGCUGAGACGCGAAAGCGUGGGGAGCGAACAGG